UUAAGCAUAUCAAUAAGCGGAGGAAAAGAAACUAACAAGGAUUCCCCUAGUAACUGCGAGUGAAGCGGGAAAAGCUCAAAUUUAAAAUCUGGCGGCUUUGGUCGUCCGAGUUGUAAUCUAGAGAAGUGUUUUCCGCGUUGGACCGUGUACAAGUCUCUUGGAACAGAGCGUCAUAGAGGGUGAGAAUCCCGUCUUUGACACGGACUACCAGUGCUUUGUGAUGCGCUCUCAAAGAGUCGAGUUGUUUGGGAAUGCAGCUCAAAAUGGGUGGUAAAUUCCAUCUAAAGCUAAAUAUUGGCGAGAGACCGAUAGCGAACAAGUACCGUGAGGGAAAGAUGAAAAGCACUUUGGAAAGAGAGUUAAACAGUACGUGAAAUUGCUGAAAGGGAAACGCUUGAAGUCAGUCGCGUUAUCUAGAACUCAACCAGGCUUGCUUGGCGUAUUUUCUAGUUAACGGGCCAGCAUCAGUUUUAACUGCAGGAAAAAGGCGAGAGAAAUGUGGCACCUUCGGGUGUGUUAUAGUCUCUGGUUGUAUACUGCGAUUGGGACUGAGGCUCUCAGCACGCGCAAGCUGUGCUUAGGAUGCUGGCGUAAUGGCUUUAAACGACCCGUCUUGAAACACGGACCAAGGAGUCUAACAAACCUGCGAGUGUUUGGGUGAUUAAACCCGAGCGCGCAAUGAAAGUGAAAGUUGGGAUCUCUGUCGCGGAGAGCACCGACGCCCGGACCAGACCUUCUGUGACGGAUCUGCGGUAGAGCAUGUUUGUUGGGACCCGAAAGAUGGUGAACUAUGCCUGAAUAGGGUGAAGCCAGAGGAAACUCUGGUGGAGGCUCGUAGCGAAUCUGAMGUGCAMAUCGAUCGUCAA
rnacentral:rRNA from 1 species